AGCGGGGUAGAGUAACAGUAAUUCGUCAGGCUCAUAACCUGAAGAUGCCCGUGCAAUUCGGGCCCCCGCAA
rnacentral:tRNA from 1 species